rnacentral:rRNA from 1 species
CCUACGGGCGGCAGCAGUAGGGAAUAUUGCUCAAUGGGGGAAACCCUGAAGCAGCAACGCCGCGUGGAGGAUGAAGGUUUUCGGAUUGUAAACUCCUUUUGUUAGAGAAGAUAAUGACGGUAUCUAACGAAUAAGCACCGACUAACUCCGUGCCAGCAGCCGCGGGAAUACGGAGGGUGCAAGCGUUACUCGGAAUCACUGGGCGUAAAGAGCGCGUAGGCGGGAUAGCAAGUCAGAUGUGAAAUCCUAUGGCUUAACCAUAGAACUGCAUUUGAAACUGUUAUUCUAGAGUAUGGGAGAGGUAGGUGGAAUUCUUGGUGUAGGGGUAAAAUCCGUGGAGAUCAAGAGGAAUACUCAUUGCGAAGGCGACCUGCUAGAACAUAACUGACGCUGAUGCGCGAAAGCGUGGGGAGCAAACAGGAUUAGAUACCCGAGUAGUC